rnacentral:misc_RNA from 1 species
UUUCCUCCCAUUUCUGGAUGGUAUCUAUUCGGUGGAUAUUUUUAUAGGUACAAUCUCCAUGCUCAUUCUCGACAUUUCUCUUCUUAUUAUUAACACCAUUACUCUGACCAUGGCAACAUACACUAACCUUUGGACUCAACAGGUUGAUGUGUUCUAAAAUCCAAGACUUCAUGCAAAAAUAAAGUAAUCGAAGCUUUGCAAGAAUUGAAUGAAAAGGGUCACUUGAAACCCUCUUAAAAUUUGACCAGAGGAAUGGGAAUCAAGAAAUGACUGGAAUCUGCGACCCUGGCGGCGUCUGUUGGGCCUUUUUCAAGUUUCUCCCUUUCAGGUUAACGUUUUUCUAAAAACUAACAAAUACGAGUGGCUGCAAG